rnacentral:rRNA from 1 species
AUAGGGGAGCCGUAGGGAAACCGAGUCUUAAUAGGGCGUUUAGUUGCUGGGUAUAGACCCGAAACCAGGUGAUCUAUCCAUGAGCAGGUUGAAGGUUGGGUAACACUAACUGGAGGACCGAACCCACUGUCGUUGAAAAGCCAGGGGAUGACUUGUGGAUAGGGGUGAAAGGCUAAUCAAACUUGGUGAUAGCUGGUUCUCCCCGAAAGCUAUUUAGGUAGCGCCUCGGACGAAUACCAUUGGGGGUAGAGCACUGUUUCGGCUAGGGGGUCAUCCCGACUUACCAAACCGAUGCAAACUCCGAAUACCAAUGAGUACUAUCCGGGAGACAGACUGCGGGUGCUAACGUCCGUAGUCAAGAGGAAAACAAUCCAGACCGCCAGCUAAGGCCCCAAAAUUAUAGUUAAGUGGGAAACGAUGUGGGAAGGCAUAGACAGCUAGGAGGUUGGCUUAGAAGCAGCCACCCUUUAAAGAAAGCGUAAUAGCUCACUAGUCGAGUCGGCCUGCGCGGAAGAUGUAACGGGGCUAAAACUAUAUGCCGAAGCUGCGGAUGCAUAAUUUAUUAUGCGUGGUAGGGGAGCGUUCUGUAAGCCGAUGAAGGUGGAUUGAGAAGUCUGCUGGAGGUAUCAGAAGUGCGAAUGCUGACGUGAGUAACGACAAUGCGAGUGAAAAACUCGCACGCUGAAAGACCAAGGGUUCCAGUCCAACGUUAAUCGGGGCUGGGUGAGUCGACCCCUAAGGCGAGGCCGAGAGGCGUAGUCGAUGGGAAAUUGGUUAAUAUUCCAAUACUUCUGUGUAAUGCGAUGAGAGGACGGAGAAGGUUAAGUCAGCCUGGCGUUGGUUGUCCAGGUGGAAGGUUGUAGGCAUGUAUCUUAGGCAAAUCCGGGGUACUCUAUGCUGAGAACUGAUAGCAAGCUGUACUUGUACAGUGAAGUGGCUGAUACCAUGCUUCCAGGAAAAGUCUCUAAGCUUCAGUUACACAGGAAUCGUACCCGAAACCGACACAGGUGGUCAGGUCGAGUAGACCAAAGCGCUUGAGAGAACUCUGCUGAAGGAACUAGGCAAAAUGGUACCGUAACUUCGGGAGAAGGUACGCUGUUGUCUGUGAUAGGACUUGCUCCUUGAGCGGGCGACAGCCUCAGAAACCAGGCCCCUGCAACUGUUUAUUAAAAACAUAGCACUCUGCAAACACGAAAGUGGACGUAUAGGGUGUGAUGCCUGCCCGGUGCUGGAAGGUUAAUUGAUGGGGUUAGCGUAAGCGAAGCUCUUGAUCGAAGCCCCAGUAAACGGCGGCCGUAACUAUAACGGUCCUAAGGUAGCGAAAUUCCUUGUCGGGUAAGUUCCGACCUGCACGAAUGGCAUAAUGAUGGGGGCGCUGUCUCCAGCAGAGACUCAGUGAAAUCGAAUUCGCCGUGAAGAUGCGGUGUACCCGCGGCUAGACGGAAAGACCCCGUGAACCUUUACUGCAGCUUGACAUUGAACUUUGAUCUUACUUGUGUAGGAUAGGUGGGAGGCUUUGAAGUCGCGACGCUAGUUGCGAUGGAGCCGUCCUUGAAAUACCACCCUGGUAAUAUUGAGGUUCUAACUCUGUCCCGUUAUCCGGGACGAGGACCAUGUCUGGUGGGUAGUUUGACUGGGGCGGUCUCCUCCUAAAGAGUAACGGAGGAGUACGAAGGUGCGCUCAGCGUGGUCGGAAAUCACGCGUAGAGUAUAAAGGCAAAAGCGCGCUUAACUGCGAGACCCACAAGUCGAGCAGGUACGAAAGUAGGUCUUAGUGAUCCGGUGGUUCUGUAUGGAAGGGCCAUCGCUCAACGGAUAAAAGGUACUCUGGGGAUAACAGGCUGAUACCGCCCAAGAGUUCAUAUCGACGGCGGUGUUUGGCACCUCGAUGUCGGCUCAUCUCAUCCUGGGGCUGAAGCAGGUCCCAAGGGUAUGGCUGUUCGCCAUUUAAAGAGGUACGCGAGCUGGGUUUAGAACGUCGUGAGACAGUUCGGUCCCUAUCUACCGUGGGCGUUGGAAAUUUGAGAGGAUCUGCUCCUAGUACGAGAGGACCAGAGUGGACGAACCUCUGGUGUACCGGUUGUCACGCCAGUGGCAUCGCCGGGUAGCUAUGUUCGGAAGGGAUAACCGCUGAAAGCAUCUAAGCGGGAAGCCUACCUCAAGAUAAGAUUUCCCCGAGACUUUAUGUCUCCUAAAGAGCCGUUGAAGACUACGACGUUGAUAGGUUGGAUGUGGAAGCAUAGUGAUAUGUGAAGCUGACCAAUACUAAUUGCUCGUGAGGCUUGACUAU